AAAAGAAAAAGGUUCAUGGAGGCCAUUAGGGUUCGGCAACUUCAAGCUUUAAUUAGCUUCGUGCUGGUAUUAUAUCCGGGUUAAAUCCCGCAGGCUUAGUGCUGGUAUUAUAUUCGAGCUUAAAGUCCUGCAGGUUUUGUGCUGGUGACUGGAUUCGGGUUUUAACCUAGCAGGCUUAACGCCGGUGAUUCAAGUAAGAUUAUGAAUUCGAAAGUUCGAGGUAAACUACUAUUGAUUAUGUAUGAUACAUUAUGAUAGUCAGGUACGUAUUAUGCACUCGCAUGUGAAUUGAUUUUUAAGGUGAA